GUUGAAGCCGUAGGUAAUAAGCUCACCCACAAAAAAUCUUUAAAGUGAGACAAGAAAAGCAUUAAGGGUGAAAUUCCUGUGAAACAUGUACCUUUAAAGAUUGCUGGAAGGGAAAGAGACUUGAGGCCUGGCCAGAGAAGGAGAACAAGGAGCGAUUGCUAUCUUAGCAGUAAGGGAACAAGAAAGUUUCUGGAAAGGCGUAACAGUGAUGAAUGCUCCCCAGAGGUCAAGGUGGGGACUGAAUUCUUUGGGUUCAACAAUUAGAAGGCCGCUCUUUACCUCGGUGUCAGUAGUCGCAGGUAGGCGUGGUGAUGGUGGAAACCAGGUUGCGGUGGUUAACGGGGCUGGAAGGCAAGACAUGGAUGAAAGAAGAAUGAGAUAAAGAACCAGGGGUUACAGCAUAUAUUCCUGAAAUUCUGGAUGGUGGAAAUCCUUGCCCUCUAAAAGCAGAAGUCCCUCUGGGUGCAGACUGAUGCUUCCCUUCAAAUCUGGAGCUGGAGAAGUUUCGUCAUGGAGAAAGAGCCCUCUCCCACCUGCGCCCAGCGCUUUUGACUUUGAAUCACCUCAAGGUGAAGGACGAUAAUUAGUAUACUUACUUAACGCAGGUCUGGCUUAUUACCUUCUGAACGGGGUGGGGGCCGUUUCCUCCCUUGCCUGUGUGGGUUGGAAGGACAGCCUGGGAUGGAUGUCAUCUGCUCCUUGAUGUAAGGAAGGGAGACUAACACAAGGCGUUAAAAACAUCUUUUUCCUUACUUCACUCGACUCCUUGCAUCUGUCACAGACCCUGCCAGGCUGACAGAACAUUACACAAAUAACUCUCCUUCUUAAGCAGCGACGAGGCAGCAGUAGGCAUUUUUUCAUUUAGAGUCUAUCAACUGAGAAUUGAUAAAGUCAUCACAGAACAGCUGUAGUUUGACCCUGACCUGACAAAGGAGAUCGAAAAUGUCUCCUGCGGAGAGAAGCGAGGGGGCUGGGAACAUCCGUUGGCUCAGAAAGAAGCUGCAAGUCGGCUGAGGGCUGACACCCAGGCACUCCGCCGAGUGUGUUUAAUAACUGAGAAGUAAAUAAAGAAAGGGCAGUCAAUAAACAAUCGCGGGUUAAUAAAUUAUUCAUCUUAACAAUACUUCCAGUGUUUGCCCAGAGAAAGGAGACCGUCUUCAGGUUUUCUUCCAACCUGCUCGCCUGCUCUGAAGCAGCCUGGCUGCGGAGCUGUUCACAUUCUGGACAGCAGAGGGAGCUCGUGUUACAUCUAAGACACGGCCGGACU
rnacentral:lncRNA from 1 species